rnacentral:lncRNA from 1 species
UAUUUCAAUGCUAAAGCAAAAAUCAAUGAGAGGUGUGCUGUUGUUUGAGAAAUCCUGCUUGUCACUGACAAUAUGUCCUAACCACGGUGCUGCAGUGGGACUCAUCUCGUUAGAGCCUGACAAGGAACGUCUUGCUGUAGUGGUGUCACACAAUGCUCAUCAGCUGUUGCUAGAAGGACAAAAUGACAACAGUUAAUUAAGAUUCCAUAAAUGCUGGUGGCUGGAAACCCUCCUACCCGUGACCCGUGCUCUGGCAGGUAGGCUGUUAGUUUGGGAUAUACUGGUGUGAAAACUCACGGUAUUAACACAGGACCAUAGAAGGGCCCACAUGAAAGGGGUGCCAAUUAUUCUUCUUCUGGAAAUUGCACCAAAGAUGGACUGCCUUCAGCCUGGAUUGUCAAUAAUUUGUAUCCAAUACAUCAAUAUGUGACUUCAGGCUGUGUCCUUUGUGCUAAACCUUUACUGAAAGAGGGUAGAUUGAGAUUAGACAUAAAGAAAUUCUCUACUCUGAGGGUGGUGAGGCAGUGGACUGGGUUGCCCAGAGAAGCUGUGAAUGCCCCAUCCCUGGACAUGUUCAGGGCCAGGUUGGAUGGGGCCCUGGGCAACCUGAUCUAAUGGAAGGUGACCCUGCCCACGGCAGCAGGGUUGGACAAAAUAAUCCUUAAGGUUUCUGCCAAUCCAAACCACUCUGUGAUUCUAUAAUGGUGGCCAAAGGCAUCCCUGUGGAAUAGGUUGCUAUCUCAUCUGAGGAGUGAGUUAUAACCAGCUCGUAGUAGGCUCAUAAAACCAGGGGAAUGCUUCCUGGACAGCUGGAAUUUUGUGAGAAACCAUUUUUCUGUGUGCGUGACAGGAGGGGUGCUCUGCCGAGCCUCCACACCAUGCCCAUGUACCCCACAGCGCAGCGGCUGGGCACCCGCUCCCUCAGCCCCCGCCUCCCCAGGCUCUCCUCAGUGCCCUCCCGGCCUGUCCGCCAAAGAUGGAGCCUGGCUGCAGCCAGGGGAGGCCGCUUGUGCCACACAUUUAUGUCAACAGCUUCGGCUCCCACCGCUGUGGUUCCCUCAUCCGCUGUGGCAGGGGCUACAAGUGGGCUGAUGCGGGCCAGUCUAGGAUCCUGCUUUCCCAGCAGAGCCCCAUGGACAGGAGAAGGGGGCAGAGGGCAGCCAAGGCGCGUGGGGACAAGGCUGACCCCAAGCCAUCGGGCGCUGCUGGCAGGGCGCAGGCAGUGGAGAGCUGUGGUGGGGUGAAGGACACCAGCCUGUGCCAUGAUGACCUUCAAAAGGAGAAGCCUGACACCUUUGACUUUCCCUGCCCAUCAAGAAACGUUGAAAAAGUAAUUAAACGAAAGAAGAAAAAGUACAAAGUCUGGAUUAAAGUCUGGAAAGUAAUUUCAAAAAUGCUUGAAGAAAAUGAAAAGUUCAGAAGUCGACUGUCUGCUUGUAGUCAGUUUAAUGGAGAAGGCAAUGAUAUGAAGCAAAGUUCACAGAAUGAGACAUUCUCCCUGGACAGGGAAGAGUCCAUCUUCGGUUGGGUAUAG